rnacentral:lncRNA from 1 species
AUAUGCUAAUUUCUACUAGUCCAACACUUAGAUAAGUACUCCUUCAGAUUGCUUAUAGCUGCACAAAGGUGUCUGAUCUCUACAGAUCAUCCACACGAAGACUGGUGCAGAUCAAGCUCCUCGGGAGUGCUAGCUCGCAAGGAUCUUCGAAGGUUGAACUGUUUCUUCUUCUCUUGAUCUCUUAGACACUCUGAAGGAGAGAAAGAAUUGGAGAAGGAAGAGAGA